GUGGGGAAUCUUGCGCAAUGGGCGAAAGCCUGACGCAGCCAUGCCGCGUGAAUGAUGAAGGUCUUAGGAUUGUAAAAUUCUUUCACCGGGGACGAUAAUGACGGUACCCGGAGAAGAAGCUCCGGCUAACUUCGUGCCAGCAGCCGCGGUAAUACGAAGGGGGCUAGCGUUGCUCGGAAUUACUGGGCGUAAAGGGCGCGUAGGCGGACAGCUUAGUCAGAGGUGAAAGCCCAGGGCUCAACCUUGGAAUUGCCUUUGAUACUGGCUGUCUUGAGUACGGGAGAGGUGAGUGGAACUCCGAGUGUAGAGGUGAAAUUCGUAGAUAUUCGGAAGAACACCAGUGGCGAAGGCGACUCACUGGCCCAAUACUGACGCUGAGGCGCGAAAGCGUGGGGAGCAAACAGGAUUAGAUACCCCAGUAGUCC
rnacentral:rRNA from 1 species